rnacentral:rRNA from 1 species
GACGAACGCUGGCGGCGUGCUUAACACAUGCAAGUGGAGCGACGAACCGGGGCUUGCCCCGGGGCAAAGCCGCGAACGGGUGAGUAACACGUGGGUUACCUACCCCAAUGACCGGGACAACCCGAGGAAACUCGGGCUAAUACCGGAUGUGGUCUUCGGACGAAAAGGAAGCUUCGGCCUCCGCAUUGGGAUGGGCCCGCGGCGCAUUAGCUUGGUUGGUGGGGUAACGGCCUACCAAGGCGACGAUGCGUAGCUGGUCUGAGAGGACGAUCAGCCACACUGGGACUGAGACACGGCCCAGACUCCUACGGGAGGCAGCAGUGGGAAUCUUGCGCAAUGCGCGAAAGCGUGACGCAGCAACGCCGCGUGAGGGAAGAAGGCCUCGGUUGUAA